UGGGGAAUAUUGCACAAUGGAGGCAACUCUGAUGCAGCGACGCCGCGUGAGCGAAGAAGUAUUUCGGUAUGUAAAGCUCUAUCAGUAGGGAAGAUAAUGACGGUACCUACAGAAGAAGCCCCGGCUAAAUACGUGCCAGCAGCCGCGGUAAUACGUAUGGGGCAAGCGUUAUCCGGAUUUACUGGGUGUAAAGGGAGUGUAGGCGGCAGUACAAGUCAGGAGUGAAAACUUGGGGCUCAACCCCAAGACUGCUUUUGAAACUGUACAGCUAGAGUGUAGGAAGGGCAAGCGGAAUUCCUGGUGUAGCGGUGAAAUGCGUAGAUAUCAGGAAGAACACCGGUGGCGAAGGCGGCUUGCUGGACUAUAACUGACGCUGAGACUCGAAAGCGUGGGGAGCGAACAGG
rnacentral:rRNA from 1 species